AUAUCACUUUUUCUUUGAGUAAUGGGGUUUCAUCAUUCGGGGGAAAGGCUCAUGGUUCUUAAACUCUUUAAUAUUACAAUCUCAACUGAUGUGCUCUUUCUGACAGUUAAAUAUUUUUAGUUCAGGAAUAACAGAUGAUGUCAAUCCUAAUGAACACCAUCAUUUUUGAAGACUGCCAAUGGUCUGUGUCAAGAUCACUGCUUGGACUUAUACUUCUCAAUGAGAAAUACUCCAGUGACCUUAGGGCCACCUUGCUGAGCACUCUGACAGCAAACAUGGAGUCCUGGACCAGAGCUCCAGGACCCUGAUGGAAGGAGUUGAGCAAAAUCUUUCAGCAAAGAACAGAGAAGGGUAAGUUCAUAACACAUAUUCAAGCUGAAAAAAAUAAAAGACAAAUGGAAACUUUACCUGGAAAAAAUGGUAACAUAGGAAGUAUUCCAGGUCACCUUAAACUGCAGUUCCUUUUGAAAGAAAAAAUAAUACCCUCUCGAAGAAUUCAUCCCCAAACUUAACAGAGCCAAAUCAUUUGGUAAUUAUGUGUUUUCCUGGUCAGAAAUGCAUUUCUUAAUUUAAUCCCAAAGUCAAGCUUUGCCAGACUGCAGCUGCUGCGCUUGGAACAAACUGCCUCAUUUCAGCAGGUGAACCCCAGAGCUUCCCUUUUCCCACUGAAACCCCUCUGAUAAAACCCUUGUUUCAGCCUCCAACACUGCCAUUGCUCUGACAGAGCCUUUUCUUGCUGGGGUUGGGAUCAAACAACUGCUUGGGAAGUGGCAGAAUGAGAAGGGAUCCAGGGGCCCACUUACACAUUGUAGAUAAAUGAGGCAAGGACUAUCUUUUUUUCUUAAUAUAAAUCACAAAUUCAGCUGAUCUUGCCCUCAUUUGAAAAACAGAAUAGAAGCCUUCACAAAAGAAAUGGCAAGUUUAUCUGCACUUCAUGAUCACACUCAUUUUUUUUUUUCCUGGCUAGCUGUAUUUUCUCUUCCAUGUGCAUUAUUCAACCAAAGCAGACCUUGAGAAAGAAUAGAAAGACAGCCUAAGUCCAGACUGGAACUUCCUGAAAAGCUUCAAACAAACUGGAAAGGGGCUUGGAGAGAAGUGAUGGCUAAAACCAUUUAGUGAUUUUAUUUCUCUGAUUUCUUCUCUGUUUAUUAGUGGGAAGAUUAUGUUGGAAUUUUUUAAAUAUCAAAUAGUUUUUCAGUAGUUAUGGUCUCCAUAAUUUCUUUCCUAUUAAAUUCUGGUACUAAAGGUGUAUGGUCUGCCUGUGGAUGAUAGUCAGAGAAGGGGGAAUUUGGAAGGAAACUCAGAGAAGCACAGAGAUCACAUUGAGGGCACUAAUGAAUCAGACAGACUCUGUGUAACUUGUACUACAGAUCAGCAAAAGACCUGGGGGAAAGGCAGAGGUCCACUGGGAAGGAGGAGAAACCUGCUAAAACAAAGGAGAACUGAGCUGACAGUGGUGAGCUGUGUCAUUUAGUCUCACCUGAAAGCUGGAAAUGACAUGGGGAUUAAUUUGACUGAAUGGUCCUUCAGGAUUUAAAUUUUAAAAAACUAUUAAAAACUGAGUAAAAUUCAUUGUUAUAACUUGAUAGUUUCUUAGUUCAGUAUCUAUAUUUAUUGAAGGCAAGAAGAGAAUGAGAGGACAUGGCCUCAAGUUACACCAAAGGAGAUUCAGACAUAAGGAUAUUAAGAGAAAAUUCUUCACAGAAAGGCUUGUCAAGCAUUGGAACAAGCAGUCCAGGGUAGUGGUGGAGUCACCAUCCCCCCAAGUGUUCAAAAGCUGUGUAACUGUGGCACUUAAGGGCAUGGUUUACUGAUGAAUAUGAUGCUGCUUUGUUGGAUUUGGUGACCUUAAAGGGCUUUUCCAACCUUACCAAUUCCAUGAUUCUACAAAGUCCUUAAGAUAACAUCGUUUUCUGAGGACGUACUUCGAUGUGUGUUUUCUCUGAGCUGCCUUAUUCUGAGCAGUGCAGGCCUGCAGGACAGGACAGGGAUCAUGGAUGAUCCAGCCAAGGCUGGGGGGAGCUGGGUGGGGAAUCAGAUCUGCUGCCUGUGCUCGCCCUGCUCAGGGCACAGACAGAGGCUGCCAUGGCUCCAGCUGCUAGAAAAUACUGGAUUUGGCAAAUGCUAGGCUCAAAUACCCCUGCAUUUAAAAGGGAGAGCUCUCAGAGAGCCCUUCAGAGAGCUCUCAGAUAGACAGUGGGGUGGAAGGUGCCUGAGAGCUUUUGUGGAAGUGCAGGUAGGGAGGGAUGGUGUGAGGGGCAGAGGGAUAACU